rnacentral:rRNA from 1 species
CCUACGGGAGACUGCAGUGAGGAAUAUUGGUCAAUGGGCGCGAGCCUGAACCAGCCAAGUAGCGUGAAGGAUGACUGCCCUACGGGUUGUAAACUUCUUUUAUAAAGGAAUAAAGUGAGGCACGUGUGCCCUUUUGCAUGUACUUUAUGAAUAAGGAUCGGCUAACUCCGUGCCAGCAGCCGCGGUAAUACGGAGGAUCAGAGCGUUAUCCGGAUUUAUUGGGUUAAAAGGGGGGGUAGGCGGGCUUUUAAGUCAGCGGUAAAAAUUCGGGGCUCAACCCCGUCCUGCCGUUGAAACUGGGGGCCUUGAGUGGGCGAGAAGAAGGCGGAAUGCGUGGUGUAGCGGUGAAAUGCAUAGAUAUCACGCAGAACCCCGAUUGCGAAGGCAGCCUUCCGGCGCCCAACUGACGCUGAGGCACGAAAGUGCGGGGAUCGAACAGGAUUAGAUACCCUUGUAGUC